rnacentral:rRNA from 1 species
AACGAACGCUGGCGGCAUGCCUAACACAUGCAAGUCGAACGAGACCUUCGGGUCUAGUUGCGCACGUGUGCGUAACGCGUGGUAACCUGCCCUUAGGUUCGGAAUAACUCCCCGAAGGGGGUGCUAAUACCGGAUAAUGUCUUCGGACCAAAGAUGUAUCGCCUUUGGAUGGGCCCUCGUUAGAUUAGCCAGUUGGUAGGGUAAAAGCCUACCAAGGCGACGAUGCAUAGCUGGUCUGGUAGGAGGAUAAGCCACAAUGGGACUGAGACCCGGCCCAGACUCCUACGGGAGGGAGGAGUGGGGAAUAUUGGAGAAUGGGCGCAAGCCUGAUAAAGCCAUGCCGGGUGAGUGAUGAAGGCCUUAGGGUUGUAAAGCUCUUUUACACGGGAUGAUAAUGACAGUACCGGGAGAAUAAGCUCCGGCUAACUACGUG